rnacentral:rRNA from 1 species
CCCUUAGAUGUCCUGGGCCGCACGCGCGCUACACUGAUGCAUUCAACGAGUAUUUCCUAGGCCGAGAGGCCUGGGCAAUCUUUUAAACCUGCAUCGUGAUAGGGAUAGAUUAUUGCAAUUAUUAAUCUUGAACGAGGAAUUCCUAGUAAACGCAAAUCAUCAAUUUGCAUUGAUUACGUCCCUGCCCUUUGUACACACCGCCCGUCGCACCUACCGAUUGAAUGGUCCGGUGAAAUCUCGGGAUUGUGGCCAGUUCACUUUAUUGGGAGUUGGCUGCGAGAACUUGCUUAAACCUUAUCAUUUAGAGGAAGGUGAAGUCGUAACA